CGCGUGCAGGACGAAGGCCUUCGGGUUGUAAACUGCUUUUGUACGGAACGAAAAGGUCUCUAUUAAUACUAGGGGCUCAUGACGGUACCGUAAGAAUAAGCACCGGCUAACUACGUGCCAGCAGCCGCGGUAAUACGUAGGGUGCAAGCGUUAAUCGGAAUUACUGGGCGUAAAGCGUGCGCAGGCGGUUAUAUAAGACAGAUGUGAAAUCCCCGGGCUCAACCUGGGAACUGCAUUUGUGACUGUAUAGCUGGAGUGCGGCAGAGGGGGAUGGAAUUCCGCGUGUAGCAGUGAAAUGCGUAGAUAUGCGGAGGAACACCGAUGGCGAAGGCAAUCCCCUGGGCCUGCACUGACGCUCAUGCACGAAAGCGUGGGGAGCAAACAGGAUUAGAUACCCUGGUAGUCCACGCCCUAAACGAUGUCAACUGGUUGUUGGGUCUUCACUGACUCAGUAACGAAGC
rnacentral:rRNA from 1 species